rnacentral:rRNA from 1 species
AUACGGAGGAUCCGAGCGUUAUCCGGAUUUAUUGGGUUUAAAGGGAGCGUAGAUGGAUGUUUAAGUCAGUUGUGAAAGUUUGCGGCUCAACCGUAAAAUUGCAGUUGAUACUGGAUAUCUUGAGUGCAGUUGAGGCAGGCGGCAUUCGUGGGGUAGCGGGGAAAUGCUUAGAUAUCACGAAGAACUCCGAUUGCGAAGGCAGCCUGCUAAGCUGCAACUGACAUUGAGGCUCGAAAGUGUGGGUAUCAAACAGGAUUAGAUACCCUGGUAGUCCACACGGUAAACGAUGAAUACUCGCUGUUUGCGAUAUACUGCAAGCGGCCAAGCGAAAGCGUUAAGUAUUCCACCUGGGGAGUACGCCGGCAACGGUGAAACUUAAAGGAAUUGACGGGG